rnacentral:ncRNA from 1 species
UCUUAUCCAGAGAGGUGGAGGGAAAAAGGCCCUGUGAAACCCGGCAACCUAUUAAUAGGUUAAAGGUAAGAAGUAAGAGUUAAUAGUUAAAAGAUAAGUUUUUAAACUUAUGUUAAAGCUAUUAUCUAUUACUUAUUAUUUAUUAACUAUUAGUGUGGUGCAAAUUCCUGCAUAAAGUUAUUUUUGCAAGAUAAGA